UCCCAGUCUACUAGGCAGCCAGGACUUCAGUUUGUAUGGCUCUCUGGGAACUUAUACCUUGGUUAUGGAUAAAAGCCACUGAUACAUAAAAUAACUGGAGUACUAGAUAAGGUGAUACAUGAUUGUGUGCUAGACUGAGGGACACAUCACUGCAUGCCUAUCAAAGGAAUUCAGGGUUAGGGAAGGUCCCUGUAGGCUGUAGCAUCUGAGAAAAUUUGGGCUUGGACUUUGAAGCAAGUUCAAGAAUUGGACUGGCAAAAAGAUAAUUUUUUUUUUUUUUUUUUUUUUUUUGCUGCUGCCCUGGUUUUGGCCAUCCUUAUUUUCAUCUAGUCUCUCCCUCUAUUGAGUUCAACCCAAAUCGUGCUGCCAAAGCAAUGCUCCUUAAAAAAAAAAAAAAAAAAAGGUUUGUUUUUUUUUAAAUUUUUAAGUAAUCUCUACACCCAACGUGGGGCUCAAACUCACAACCCCAAGAUCAAGAGUCAACACACUUCACCAACUGAGCCAGUCAGGUGCCCCCAGAGCAGCGUUCCUCAUCUUAAAUCUGACCAACAGUCUCUUGCUCAGAAACCCCCUGUGGCUCCUUACUAUUCCCUGAAGCCUAAAGUUCCUCACUUCCCUCCCCUUGGCUUCUCCUGCUCCCUCUACCUGAAGUAUCUUCCCUUGACUUCUUCUCGUCUGCCAGUGGAAAUACUACAUAUUCCCCAAUGUUCAGCUCCAAUGCCAUUUCUUCUCUGCUUCUGUUAUAUACUAGAGGAAUUGAAGCAAUGAGGAAGAUGCUUGUGGGCAAUAGCAAUACAACACUAUUUAGUCCCUCACCAUAGAAGUCCUGAUUGAAAGAGUUUGUGAUUCAUCUGAUCUGAUUGCGGAUCUGAUUUAAUUCUUAGCCCUGCCACUUAGUAGAACUAUCAUAUUGAUGUUCCCCAAUGAACCAUACCACCAGUGUGACUGGUCUUAUGUAAAUCUCUCCCACACUGACUUGGGACUUGGCCAUGUGACUUGCUUUGGUUAAUUAAUAGCACCUCACCAAGCAUGAUGCAGACAAAGACAUGGUAAGUGCUGCCAUUUUGAGGCUGUACUCCUGGAACACUCCCUCUUGGAGUAGUUAUCCAGGAAGUCCAAUUACCCUGCUGGAGAGAGAGAUCAGGUAGAUAGGCUCACCGAUGUAACACCUCCAGGAUAUCCUGUAAGAAAGACAUGCCCGGCCAGCCCCUAGGAUGUUCUAAGCAUCCUGGUUGAGACCCUAGACACAUGAGUUGAAUCAUCUUGGAUGCUCUGGACCCAGUCAAGCUUCCAGAUGACUGAGUCUGAAUAGGAGACUCCAGGCAAGAUCAGCCAAAAGAAUUACCCAAUUGAGCCCAGGCCAGAUUUGUAGAGUCAUGGGUGAAUAAAUGGCUUUAGCCACUAAGUUUUGGAGCAGUCUGUUACUUAGCAGUAAAUAAUUAAAACAUUGGUCGUUUUACCCGGUAUAAUUUAUUUCUCUGGAAUUCAGUUUGCCCAUCUGUGGAAUGGAGAUGAUAGGAUUUCCCUUACAGAGUUGUUUUGAGAAUUUAAUGACAUAAUGUAUACAAAGUUUCCAGGGGUGUAUCUGACACAUAUUUGUUUAUACAAGAUUUAAUUUGUGGAAUCCUAAAUCUGCCAGGCACUGUGGUGUGACACAGUGAUAAGGCACAAUCACUCCCUCAAGGCACAUAUUAAACACUUAAGAAUGUUAGUUCCUUUUCCCUCCUGACAUAACAUUAUACGUUGUGGAUGCUCCUUGCUAGUUGCAUCAAAUUCACUACAGUACACAAUGGAUAAGCUAAAUAAUAUUUUUGUCUCCUGAUUCUGUCUCAAUUCAUUUAGGCACCUGCUUUGUAACAUCCAAACCACAGUCCUUAAAGUAUAGGGAUGGCUUGAAAAUUGACUUUCGCUUUAGCAGUGCUGGGGCCCCACCUGCGAGCUGGCACAUCGCUGAUGGGUACUAGAUGACCUGCUACGUAGGUUGAGGUCGUUGGAUUUCAAACCGAAAGAGGCCUGGUCUGCGGUGAAUGCAGAUAAAGAACCCAAUACAAUCUGAUGAUAAAGAGGUUGAGGAGAGUGUACCUUCACCUUCCCUUCUUCCUUCUCUCCCAGCUCCUACUCCUCUGUGUAGAAACACCAUCUUGUAUCUUUUUACUCAGGCGAUUCGAGUGGCUUUCGGCCUCAGCUUCAUUCUCUUCCGCCUCUUUCUUGGAUCACUUCCAAAUG